AUCGUUUCUCGGCCUUUUGGCUAAGAUCAAGUGUAGUAUCUGUUCUUAUCAGUUUAAAAGCCUCUGUGUUUAGAGAGCAAUAUAGUGAGAAAAGGGAAAAGUUUAACCAGUAUGUACCUCAC
rnacentral:snRNA from 1 species